CUGGUUACUUCCCUAAGACUGUUUAUAUUAGGAUUGUCAAGACACCCCGGUAUUACUCGAGCCCGUAAUACAACAAUGGAUUCAAAGCGAGGCCUAAAUUAACGAUCAUGUCUUUGCUAUUAUAUCAGAGGGCAUAUCAUUGAAUUUCCGAUUUCCAAAGGGAAGAAAAUAAAUAAAGUUGUGCUAUUUCCAUGCAUCCUUUUUUCUUUCAUUCAAUGACACAUAC
rnacentral:snoRNA from 1 species